rnacentral:lncRNA from 1 species
UCGAGUCUAGUGUAGUAAACAUGACAUGAAUUUAGGGAUGGUAGAAGUCCCGGUAUUGAUUAUGCAUUGUGAUUGUGCAGCAGAGGCACCAUGACCCUAGUAGAUAGGGUAUCCUCUUGUGAGGAUUGGAUCAUACUCACUAGUCUGUUUCGCUUGUCAGUGGUCGCUCCACCGAAGUAGUGGUCUCUGGAGUACUUUACAUAGGGGCAGACGUAGUUGUCCCGCAGAAGAUCUCGGUGUGCGAGUGCAGCUUCUCCUCAACUAUGAGAUUGAGAAUGAGUCGAGGGCUUAACCUACGGGUUAGCCAGGUAAAUUGGGUAAUGAACAUGAAUGGCAUAGUAGAAUUGCAUUCUUACCUUGAGUGGACAUAGUGUAUGUUGUAGAUUGCAUUGCUAUGUUAAAUAUAAUUGCUCUUGACAUCAUACUAGCAUGAUAGUAUACUGUUGCAUGAUGAUUAUUUCAUACAUGGCAUCGCAUU